rnacentral:piRNA from 1 species
CCACCUUCUCAGACACUCCUCCGAGC